rnacentral:rRNA from 1 species
UACGGGGGGGCAAGCGUUGUUCGGAAUUACUGGGCGUAAAGGGCUCGUAGGCGGCCAACUAAGUCAUACGUGAAAUCCCUCGGCUUAACCGGGGAACUGCGUCUGAUACUGGAUGGCUUGAGAUUGGGAGAGGGAUGCGGAAUUCCAGGUGUAGCGGUGAAAUGCGUAGAUAUCUGGAGGAACACCGGUGGCGAAGGCGGCACUCUGGGCCGGUACUGACGCUGAGGAGCGAAAGCGUGGGGAGCGAACAGG